rnacentral:lncRNA from 1 species
UAGAAUUAAGAACAAAGAAAUUUAUGAUGAAAUUAUGUUUAAUUUUAAAAGUGUUACCAGAUUUCAGAAUUUCUCAAUGUUUUAACUGGGUUAGAAUUUUUAGAAUAUAUACAUAAAAGAAAAAGUAUGAUUAUUUGCAAAUUAUCCACUCAUUGAGCUGUAAGCUCAUAUUUCUUUUCACCUUUUUCUUUAUCAGAUAGCAGUAGAGUUAGUAGUAUUAGAGCUUGUCGAUCCACUGAAUUGAGCCACACGUCAUUAGUUGUAUGGCCUACUUUAUCAUAUUAGGUAGUACCUGUUUCUUGGGUUACAUGUAGCUUAUGUUAAAAAAGGUUGCCUUGGUGGUGGGUCUAGCACUUGUUGGUAUCUAUCAUCAGCCCACGACACACGGAUUCAUUAAGGUGAUUCGGGACGAGUCGUGUCAGAAUAGGUCAUAAUUACGAAGAACAAGGCUACAAUCAACAAAAAUUAGGUCACAAUCACCCAUUCACAUCAUACCCAAAUGUACCCGUAUAUUGCAUCUCACAUUAUAAUAUAUUAAAUAAAAAAUUUAAUUAGUAUAGCCAGGUUUACCUUCUUCUUCCUCAUUGGAUUAGAAAGACGUCCCUGCAUCAACAUCAUUUUCAUUUUUACGCGUUAUAAAGCUUUGAAUUGCAGAACUUGUUUCAAAGUAAACUUUAAUGGUGGCCAAAACAAAUUUUGGGUGUGUUGAAGACGACAAAGAUGGAGGCCAAUUUCAAUGGUGGUUAACAGGUGUGCCAAUAGUUGAAAAUGCUUGGGUCUCAUUGGGUUCAACUGCAGGUGUGGGGUGCCAUUGCCAAACCAACCUCAACGUCAAUGCUCAGAAGCUUGAUAAUAUUCGAGCCACUGUAUUCAUUAGUUAUGGAUUCAUGGCCUUCGUCUGUGGAAUUAUAAUUGGGAGACCAGUCAAAGGUGGAGUUAUGUUUGGGAGGUGAUUUCGCCAGGGUAGGUGGUGAGAAAUGGUGGUGGUGGUUGGCCUUCAUAGUGUAGUGUUCGGCAAAUUUUGAAGAGUUACAUAGAUAAUAACAGUGGGGAUGAGUAAAAAGAUUUGAUUAUAUAUUUCUCUUAUUAAUUCUAUAUUAAUUAUUUUAAUUAAUCUCUAUUAUCAACAGAUCAAUGAAAUUAAAAUUAUAUCACCUUAAUUUUGAAUUGUAUAGUUUAUAUGUAGGGUUUGAGCUAAUUUUCCCUUAAUAGUAACUCCUUUAAACUUUAAUAUCUUCGGCCUAAUUUAUCUAAAUUAACUUUUUCUCGAAUUCAUGGUGCAUAAUUUAAUACAAACUACAAAACAAGCCCAGUAUUAAUAUAUUAAU